rnacentral:misc_RNA from 1 species
UGGCUCUGGCAUCGAUGAAGAACGCAGCGAAAUGCGAUACGUAAUGUGAAUUGCAGAAUCUAGUGAAUCAUCGAAUCUUUGAACGCACAUUGCGCCCGCCAGUAUUCUGGCGGGCAUGCCUGUUCGAGCGUCAUUUCAACCCUCAGGACUGCUGCUCGCGGCGGUACUGGUGCUGGGGAUCAGCGUAGGCGCGGGGCCCUGUCCCGCCAGCUGGCCCUGAAAUAUAGUGGCGGUCAUGUCGGCACUCCCCUGCGCAGUAACUCACCUCGCUUGCGGAAGCCCGGCCUGGCCACGCCGUGAAACCCCCUAGCUCAUCAAGGUUGACCUCGAAUCAGGUAGGAAUACCCGCUGA